rnacentral:SRP_RNA from 1 species
GCCAGGCAUGGUGGCGUGUGCCUGUAAUCCCAGCUACUCAGGAGGCUGAGGCAGGAGAAUUGCUUGAACCUGGGAGGCAGAGGUUGCAGUGAGCUGAGAUCGUGCCACUGCACUCCAGCCUGGGUGACAGAGUGAGACUCUGUCUCAA